GUGCAGGCCGGGCAGCACGGCCGUGCUCGGCCCCCGCCCAGCCCUGGGCUGAAACCCCCCGCCCCGCCGGGAGCGGAGCGCCGAGCCCCGCCGAGACGGCAGUGCCGCCGGGCAGCGGGAUGCCGGAGCGAGGCGGGCCCCGGCUCUAGGCUAGGCUCGCACAUGGAACCGCGUCCCGCACGGCCCGUCCUUGUGCACGGCGGCACGUUCGCUGCUUCCUCCCACGCCGGAGCGCUGCAGCGAGGCACUAUCCGAGAGAUGGGGACUAGCGAAGGCUCGUGAAUGAAAAGAAACGCAGCAUAAGUGAAUCAAUGCGGGCUAACCGACUCGAGCCUGUGAAUAAAUUAUUAAUUUGCGCUCGCAGAAGAAUCCCCUCGAUAGAGCGAGCAUAGGAUGACAAGCUCCUCCACGGAGCGAGCGGCGUGGGGAACAGGAGGGAUUGGUCCAGUGGACUACAAGUUUAGAAAAGACCCAAAACAGAAAAAGCAGGGCCUGAAUGUGCGAGUAUUACUUAGUAGAGGGAGUACUGCAUCCUGCUACAGAAGACAACACUUCAAAUUUGAGAGGUCAGCUGCAAAGCUUGGCUUCAAAAGCAACUCACAAUCACAACACCAGAGAACAGAAACAACUUCCUGGGCCAGAUAGCAACUACAGAAUGCUGGAGAUGAUUGUUUUUAAGCAAAACAGAUGUUAGAGCCAAAUGUUUCUUGAUGCAAUCCUGUUCAUCUUCAGUGAGACAGCAUAAAGUCUUGUUUCCCUGAACACAGCAAGAGGAAGCAGUCCCUUUGCUCAAUGCCAGUUCUUCUUUCCUGACAGCUCUGUACCAACUGCUCUCCCCUACCAGCUGCAAGCUUCUAGUGCCUCAUCAGAAAUGGAUCCUCUACCAACCAAAAGAUGCUGUUGUUUCCACAUUCUGUCUUCUUUAAUGUCUUCAGUUUUAUGCAUAUUGGAUGUUCGGUAGGGGAUCUAAAACACCAGUCUGAGAUGUCCAAGUCCAAUCUCGUUUUCAGGCUGGUUGGGUUUUCUCAUUUGUUUGUAUUGUGGUUUCUUUGUGGUGUUUUUGUUUGUUUGUUUUUUAAGGUUCAUUCACAAAGCUUAAGUGUGAAGGAAAAUAUUUGCUGAAAUUCACAAACUGGUUUAUUUUUCACCACGGUUGUUAGAGCUAUGCAUAAGAGACCCACAAUAUUUGAAUAAAUAUUUCUGCUAAGAUUACUGUGAUUACA
rnacentral:lncRNA from 1 species